GACGAACGCUGGCGGCGUGCUUAACACAUGCAAGUCGAACGGAAAGGCCCUGCUUUUGUGGGGUGCUCGAGUGGCGAACGGGUGAGUAACACGUGAGUAACCUGCCCUUGACUUUGGGAUAACUUCAGGAAACUGGGGCUAAUACCGGAUAGGAGCUCCUGCUGCAUGGUGGGGGUUGGAAAGUUUCGGCGGUUGGGGAUGGACUCGCGGCUUAUCAGCUUGUUGGUGGGGUAGUGGCUUACCAAGGCUUUGACGGGUAGCCGGCCUGAGAGGGUGGCCGGCCACAUUGGGACUGAGAUACGGCCCAGACUCCUACGGGAGGCAGCAGUGGGGAAUAUUGCGCAAUGGGCGGGAGCCUGAUGCAGCAACGCCGCGUGCGGGAUGACGGCCUUCGGGUUGUAAACCGCUUUCGCCUGUGACGAAGCGUGAGUGACGGUAAUGGGUAAAGAAGCACCGGCUAACUACGUG
rnacentral:rRNA from 1 species